rnacentral:tRNA from 1 species
GCCACCUUAGCUCAAUCGGCAGAGCGGCGGUUUUGUAAACCGCAGGUUUUCGGUUCGAGUCCGAAAGGUGGCUCCA